rnacentral:rRNA from 1 species
AGGACGAACGCUGGCGGCGUGCUUAACACAUGCAAGUCGAGCGGAAAGGCCCUUCGGGGUACUCGAGCGGCGAACGGGUGAGUAACACGUGAGUAACCUGCCCCUAGCUCUGGGAUAGCUCCGGGAAACCGGGAUUAAUACCAGAUACGACCACUUUAGACAUCUGUCGUGGUGGAAAGGAUUCCGGCUAGGGAUGGGCUCGCGGCCUAUCAGCUUGUUGGUGGGGUAACGGCCUACCAAGGCGACGACGGGUAGCCGGCCUGAGAGGGCGACCGGCCACACUGGGACUGAGACACGGCCCAGACUCCUACGGGAGGCAGCAGUGGGGAAUAUUGCGCAAUGGGCGAAAGCCUGACGCAGCGACGCCGCGUGGGGGAUGGAAGGCCUUCGGGUUGUAAACCCCGUUUCAGCAGGGACGAAGCGAAAGUGACGGUACCUGCAGAAGAAGCGCCGGCUAACUACGCGCCAGCAGCCGC